AUGCCGGUUGCUCGCCUCGGUCGCCGCCUGUUUAGCCACCGCCGCCUCUGCGGGGGGAGCGGCCGCCUAUUGUUUUUCUGUGCGGCGAAGGUGAGGAGCUGUCUCGGCCGGCGGGGGAGCCCCGGGAGCGUCACUGUGAGAGCGCAACUUAGUUGGCGGAGUUGGGGGAAGUUUUGUGAUUUGAGGCGGGGUGGGGGUGCGGAGCGCGGCCCGUCCCCUGCGGCCGCUAGGUGGGGCGGGCCCCGGAGCUGCGCGGGGCUUCCGGGGCAGGCGGGACGGAUGGGUAGCCGGGCGGCGCGGGGACCUCAGCUUUGCGGACCCCUCCUCUCUGCGCAUCACCCUUCUCCCGUAUUGUCUGCCUGGGGCUCGGCGCGCCUCCCACUCCGCAGCCCAACUUGGGGCCGUCGCCGCUUUCCGGGUGGGGGGCGCGCCCGGCCGCGGAUGGCCCCGAACCCUGCCCCGGGUCCUUUGGGUGGCGCUGCUGGGGCGGGCUCACUCCUCCCCUGGGGCCGGCGGCCUCCGUUUGGAGUCCGCGCCCAGAACAAGUGCUGCGGGAGCGGGGGAGCGGCUCCCCGGGGGCCGACGCAGACGGUAAAUCUGUCCGACGGCGCCCGCCUGCUGGGGUCUCCGCUGCUUCUCCCGGACGCGGCCCGGCUGAAACCCCGCCGCUCCGAGUCGAAUGACCCAGGAGACCUGUGCGGUCGGUCCAACUUGCAGCUAUACUUUGAGACUAAUCUUAUUUUUUUUUGUAAAGGCAAACCGGUAUGUGAAAUUGAAAAAAGGAAAAACCCUCAAACAAACUUUCUUUCUUUCUCUCCUCUCUUUCUCUUUCUUUUUUAAACUCAAGAAAGGGGGUAGAUAGGUUUGUUUUGGAAAUGGUUCUUAUAGCAGAGUGAUACCGUCACAUUUAAUGCUCCUACUGUGAACUCAGGAAUUCACGAUGGAAGUUGGAUUGAGCGGUAUUUUGGUGUUCAUUCUUUGCUGACACUCAUUAAUGAAGUUAUUUGGAGAGUUGAUUGCUUCAGUAGAGUAAAAACCAGUGUGCCUUUUUUUUUUGUUUGUUACUACUUCCCCCCCACCCCCCGCAUUGUUUUAAUUUUCGAAGAAGCAGUUUAUUCAGUUUUUCUAAACCAUUGGAUUGCCCAGAUGAGGACAAACGGUGCAGUUCUUGAAAGGUCAUUAUUGGCAAGUUUGUGAAGGAGCUAAGAUUAGUUGAGAAACCAGUGUUACUGUUCUUGUAUUCGGUCGUGGACUCUUGGGGAUUUGCAGGCUGCAUUAAGUACAAGUCUGGUCCAGUUUUGGGUGCACGUAUUCCACUGAAUAAUUUGUGUGGCUUAUUAUAUGAACAUGAUUCUGUUUCAGUUCCCCAGAUGGAACUAGCUUAAAUGUCUGUCAUUCAUAGUGACAAAUGAACAAAAUAGCCAGAGUGUCAUUUACUGUUAACUUCAGUUGUAUUCCUUUACCAUCUGCUAAAUGAAAAAGAAAAAUUUGAGAAAUAACUGUGUAUGUCAGUUUGUUGUGAGUGAUUUCUCAUGCUAAGUGAGUCAUGUGGAGAAGUGUUCCUGGGCUUUUCUGGUUUGGUGGGCCUUGUGUUAUAAAACCAAUUUUCUUCACCUGAUGAAGCUAAAGACAAAUUUUCUUCAGGCACAGGCGUUGCACUUUAAAACUAUAGAGCCAGUUUAGGAUUCACAAUACUCGCUCGAUGGCUUCCCUUCCUGGUUGUGUGGUUGUGUGUGUGUGUGAUUGUGGGGAGGGAGGUUGGUUGACAGGUUGGAAGGGAUUGUCAGGGAGGGACACAAUGUAAGCAAGUACUGUUUACAACAUAACUUGACGAGUGCACCAGUUGCUUUCCUUCUCUGGGCGGUGAUGGCAUGUUAUCUUGUAGGUACUAUUGUUUUAGGAUUUCUUACACUUCAUUUGCCUUGACUAAAUGGUAACUGCACACAUACUGUACUAUAAAUGGACUCCUCUUCUAGUCCGUAACUCCUUGAGGGCUGUGAUAGACCUUACUUAGCUUUGUACCCUCUUUGCCAGUAGUCUUAACAGUGCAGGCACAGUAUGUGUUUGAAUUGGGUAAAUUAUUUUUACUGCCUAGUGGUAGCUAGCGUACACAGGAGAGAGCCACUAACUCUGGGGACUUGUCCAAAAUGACAAUUCACUUGCAGAUCUGUGAUGAAAUUUACUUUAAAAGGAUUUCUAACUUAAAAAAAAAAUCUGUCGGUUAUUAUUUAUUUAAAGAAGUGGGGCUUAACUGGUGCUCUAAGGAUUUCAACAAGAGAUUCAACAAGAGAUUUAGAAAUCCGCCCCGCCCCCCCCUUUGGUGAAACUGUUAUUUUUUUGGAGUCGGAAUCUCACUGUUUCCCAGUUGUCUGCCGGGAACCCAACCUGUCCUCCCACCUCAGCCUCCCACAGUGUUGGAAUUACAGGCCUGAGCCAUCCCACCCAGCUGGUGAAAUUAUUAAAAUUGUAGUGACAACUCUCCCUCCAUUGUGAAAUUGGAAAAAAAUUAGACAUUUUAGAAAAACGUACACCCUUUGAAGCUAGGUAGAGUUCAGAUCCCCACAUUUCCAUUGACUAGCUGCAUAGCCUCUCAGAGCUUCAGUUUCCUACUCCAUAAUGGUUAGUAACAUGCUUUGCAGUGUUUUUAGGGAUGAAUGAAACUGUGAGGUACUUAACUGCAGUAUUUAACAUGAAGUAGGUAGCUAUUUCCUAGUAGCUGUAAUGAUAAUAAUUUUGAUAGGUUUUUACAUGACUUAAGCAUUCUUAAAAGUCUGAUGCUUCUGAGUAUAGAGGCUUAGCUAUUUUCUACAAAGAAGGGGCCCCCUGACUUGCAGAGUCUUAUAGGAAUGCAUUUCUUAGGUCAUGUAAACUGGAAGGAUAAUGGAACAAUAGCGAGUUUAUCUCUCCUCACCUGUGAGUCUUCUUUUAUAUGUGGGACUCCUUUGAGAGUGCUUGUGCAGCCUUUGUGACUAUGGCAUUUAGGAAACAGAGAGAUGGUCAUACUGUGCACAUCAAAUAAGAGCUAUGAGGUAGUCUAACUUCUUUAUUUCACCUUAGUCUUGACAAAUAACAAGUGUGGAUUAUGUCGCAUUUCAAUUUGUUUGCAUGUAGAACUGGACUGGGCAAUGCUGUUCAGUACAGAUGAGCAAAUCAUCACUUCAAGAUAACACACUUUAAAGGUGCCACCAU
rnacentral:lncRNA from 1 species